CCCGCCACUAUGCCGGUCUGUCCCCGUGACCAGGUAUAAUCCAGUGGAGGCUCAGAGAGACCCGGCUUUAGGAAACAGGGCUGUCCACGCCAAUGGGCCACUCUGUGCCGAAAAGUCUGGUACAAAA